rnacentral:rRNA from 1 species
CCCUUAGAUGUUCUGGGCCGCACGUGCGCUACACUGAUGCAUUCAACGAGUUUCUUCCUGGUCCGAGAGGAAUGGGUAACCUUUUGAAAGUGCAUCGUGAUAGGGAUAGACUAUUGCAAUUAUUGGUCUUCAACGAGGAAUUCCUAGUAGACGUAGUUCAUCAGACUGCAUCGAUUACGUCCCUGCCCUUUGUACACACCGCCCGUCGCUCCUACCGAUUGAAUGCUCAGGUGAGCCAUUCGGACCUUCAUCAUGCCGGUUUCCGGUUUUGAUGAGGGAAAGUCUUGCGAACCUUAUCAUUUAGAGGAAGGAGAAGUCGUAACA